CACGUAGGGCGCAAGCGUUGUCCGGAAUUAUUGGGCGUAAAGAGCUCGUAGGCGGUCUGUUGCGUCUGCUGUGAAAACUCGGGGCUUAACCCCGAGCUUGCAGUGGAUACGGGCAGACUAGAGGUAGGUAGGGGAGAAUGGAAUUCCCGGUGUAGCGGUGAAAUGCGCAGAUAUCGGGAGGAACACCGGUGGCGAAGGCGGUUCCCUGGGCCUUACCUGACGCUGAGGAGCGAAAGCGUGGGGAGCGAACAGG
rnacentral:rRNA from 1 species